CCUGGUAAGAAGGAAGGGCCAACCCAUGGGAGCUUAGGUGUAUGCAGUGCGCCUCAGUGACCAGAAGUACGGUCACUCAGAAGAAGGUGAGAGUGUCUUAUUGGAGAUUCAUGCAUACCUGAGGCCUUAUGAAGGUCUACAUUUUCUAUGUGCACAGGAGACUUUUCAUGAAUAUUGUUCUGCAGCUGAGUAAUGAAAUUGCAUGUCAUCACUGUGAUUCACCCAUAUAAAAUUACUUCCAGAAAAAGGUAAUGGAAAUCUUCACUGCAGCAUUCAGUUUGAAGAAACCUGGUAUUUCAACAAAAGGAAACAACAGUUCUUGGAACAAGUGACAUACAGAGGAAAUUUCUUUCUGGGACUACUAAAACCACGUAGUGUCACCAACAGUGCAUACAGCCAUGUUUCAGACUUCAACCCAGCCCUCUUAUGUUACAUUUGUAAUCUAAGUAAGGAGGGAGAAUUCCAGGAAGAAAACAUCUCAAAAGGUCCAUCAGUAUCUAUGAAAAUAAGACUCUCCUUAGGGCAUGACCACUGUUUGCAAGUUAGAGCUUUCAAAUGCCAUGAUAAAGCAGCGCUUCCCAGCAGAAGCUGAACAUUUUUAAGUCAAGUCUUCUGUAGAAGACUUUGGGAAACCAUUACCCAGGACACCCAGGGAUGCCAGUCAUGUGAGGUUUUGCUGCACUGCUUCUCUGGCUGCCUCAUGCUACAGGGGUGGUAUACUUCAGCAGCUGGCUUCGCAACUGGAGAAAGAAAAGAACAGUGAGAUUGAUUUCAUCAGUGGAAAAGAACAGGGUUUCUGAGAUCACUUCUUUUUUUUUUUAAAUAAAAAAAAUAUAUUCCCACAGAUUCUACCGGAAAUACUCUGGAAGAGGAGAAGCUGGCCACAUUGAUAAUAAUAACAGUAAUAAUAAUGAUGAUAAUUUUUAAAGAAAAAACAUUAGUGUCUUAAAAUGAUCAGUCCUGCAUAUGCUGAAGCUUAGGACAUGAGGCAUCCACUAACAAGCAGGCUACAACAGAGAACUGUUAUAGAAUGAAAGCUCCUAUCUGAAAAGACACCAUGGAAAAGCAGAAGAGAGAAAGAGACAUCAUAAAGACAUACAAUCAUUCUUGGUAUCUGACUAGAGAGCUACAAUUCCGAAUAAAAUAAUCCUGAGUUACUUCAACUAUUUUCUCUGAAAAAUAUAACUUGAUUUUUAUGGAAAUGAAAACUUUACAGGUGAUAUGAAUCUAAAGGCUGUGUGUGAGCUGUGCACAGUAGAGCUAGGGGACACUCAGAGCUCAGCAGAAGCUGUGUCACUGCUCCAAAUGUCCUCAUCAAGAAAGUGGCCAUGCAGAAGUUGUCAGCCCCUGCCCAGCUUGUCACUCCCAUAACAGAAUCCCUCUGUGGUACCCCAAGCAGUUGCCUCUGCUCAAUCUCCAGGUGACCAACACUCAUGACACAGCAGAUCUCACUGCUCCUACUCCAUGGGAGAUCAGAAGAAAACACUCAUCCUCACACAAGCAUCAUCUGCUGAUCUGCUUCUAGUACAGAAGCCACACUUCAAAUUCCCACAAGCUCUAUGAGUCACAGGAGUCCCACCCUAACUUGUUACACCACUCACAACUAUGAUUUUAUUUCAAGCCAAUGAACUGCUUUUUGUUUAGAAAUCAAAACAAUAAUGCACCGAAAUAAAGAAAAAAACAGUAAGUUCCAUUUGGAGGAAUGAACAAAGCUUGUGAUAAUUGUGCAUUUAAAAAUACUGAAGAUACCUAAUUUGAGAUGGAAAUAAAAGCGUUCAUGUCACUUCAA